rnacentral:rRNA from 1 species
GCCUACGGGACGCAGCAGUGGGGAAUAUUGCACAAUGGGGGAAACCCUGAUGCAGCGACGCCGCGUGAGCGAUGAAGUAUUUCGGUAUGUAAAGCUCUAUCAGCAGGGAAGAAAAUGACGGUACCUGACUAAGAAGCCCCGGCUAACUACGUGCCAGCAGCCGCGGUAAUACGUAGGGGGCAAGCGUUAUCCGGAUUUGCUGGGUGUAAAGGGAGCGUAGACGGUUUUUCAAGUCUGAAGUGAAAGCCCGCGGCUCAACUGCGGAACGGCUUUGGAAACUGAGGGACUAGAGUGCUGGAGGGGCG